GGGGAAUAUUGGACAAUGGGCGGAAGCCUGAUCCAGCAACGCCGCGUGAGGGAUGACGGCCUUCGGGUUGUAAACCUCUUUCAUCAUCGACGAAGCUCGACGUUCAGUCGGGUGACGGUAGGUGGAGAAGAAGCACCGGCCAACUACGUGCCAGCAGCCGCGGUAAUACGUAGGGUGCGAGCGUUGUCCGGAAUUAUUGGGCGUAAAGGGCUCGUAGGCGGUUUGUCGCGUCGGGAGUGAAAACACUGGGCUUAACCGAGUGCUUGCUUUCGAUACGGGCAGACUUGAGGCAUUGAGGGGAGAACGGAAUUCCUGGUGUAGCGGUGAAAUGCGCGGACAUCAGGAGGAACACCGGUGGCGAAGGCGGUUCUCUGGCAAUGUUCUGACGCUGAGGAGCGAAAGUGUGGGGAGCGAAC
rnacentral:rRNA from 1 species